CUCCGAGUCCUGAGGAGUUAGCUUAUGCAGUGGCGAGAGCAGCACAACAGCAGGAUGAUGAUGUCGGGGUAAUCCUGUCAUUGUUUAGCUUUAUGUUUAGUUUUGCAUGUUUAGUUUAGCAUACUUUAGACAUGACACUUAAGAAAGUAUAAGGAAAAAACCAAGUCAGUUUUACCAGACAAAAAGUAAAUAAAUCCAUCAGCUAAUUUAUAUUGUACGUUAUGACAUUUAAUUUAUAUAUAAAUUUUAGUCGGACGGUAUUUGUUUAUGUUUAUACGUGUGUGGAUGUCUAUAUAUAUUGUGUUAGUUUUAAUUAUAUAUAUGGAUUGAUCUCGAUGGAUUUGUAGGGAUGUUGAUUUAUAUAUACAUACUGUUGUGUGUUGGGAUUUAAAUCAGGUACACAUAUGUAUAGUUUUUUUGGGAAAUCCACCAAACAACCAAAUAUUUUUUUAAAAUUAUAAAUCAGGGACCACAGACCGUCGCUACUUUUUAUCAGCGACCAUUUAUGAACCCAAGAUGUUAGCGACCGGGCGGUCUCUAAUAGUGGUCACGGGCACAUGGGCCAUGUGACAACCCGAGAAUUUAGACGAUUAAUAAAAUCUUAAAUGAUUAAAUAAAGGUUAAAUAAUAAGACCUAUACUAGAAAUAGAGUUUGGAUUUAAAACUUUUAUGAAAGACUUAUGUGGUUUUGUGUAUAGUGACUUAUGUGAAGUAUGUGAGUGAUUAAAUAAACUUAUAUUAUAAAUAUGUAUAUAUAAUUAUUCUUUAUAUAAAAAAGAACUAAAGAAAGCUUUAUAGCCUAAUGUUAUACAUUUGAUAUGAGAAUUAAAUAACCUAAUGGUUAUAGUAAUUGAAGAAUGCUAGUAUCUAAAUUAUGUACUAGUAAAUCAAUGAAAUGAAUAAUAAUCAAUAAAUGAUUAGUUGAUAUGAUUAAUAAUAAAAAAGGGAGUAAGUUAAAACUCAAAUUUGAGUUAGGGAAAGAAUUUUGAAGCACGGAUCGUUCGGUUGCGUUCAGAACGUCAAGAUUAGUCAAAAAAGGCUGUAAACACAAAAUGUGUCGGGGUUGACUUUUUGGUUAUAGUCAACAGUUGGCUUUUAUGGAGAAAAGUCAAAAUUAGAGUUAGGAGUGGAAUCUUGAGACGCGGACUAGAUAUUUGAGUCCGGAACGUCGAAAUUAGUAAGAAUAACCUGUAAAUACAAAAUGUAUCGGGGUUGACUUUUUGGUCAAAGUCAAUAGUUGACUUUUUUGGAGAAAAGUCAAACUUAACAUUCAGAGAUGAAUUUGGAGAAACGGAUGUAUCCAUGAUAUCGGGAGCGUUGAUUUUAGUAGGAAUCGACUAUAAACUUAAAAAUUUGACUUUUUGGGUCCGAAAGUCAAAGACGGGAUUAAGCACGCAAAAUGAGACAAUAAAAAUGGGACCCACUUGACCAAAAUCUGUUGGAAAUUCCAGCACAUGGGUAGCCCAUCUAACCUCACCAACUCCCCAAAUAAUUUUCCCUAAAAAGUGGAUCUAGUUUUCCCAUUAAUUAAUAUUAAACCUCUAAUUCAUUUAACAAAUAAGAAGGAUUUAUCUCUCAUUUUUUUUCUCUCACACACAAGACCAAAUAGGGAGAAGAGAGAGAGAGAGAGGGCUGCCAUGGAUGGAAGGAAGAGAGAGAAGGAAAAGAAAAGAGAGGAAAAAGGAAGAAGGGAAAGAAGAAACCAUGAAUUUCUCCAUAACUCUCACCCAAAAACCCCAAUGAAAGCUUUAGAGCUUAAGAGGGAAUGAAAGAGGGGGAGGUCAACCAUGGGAAGAGAGGAAGAAGAGAAUAGAGGAAGAAGAAAUCAAGAGGAAGAUCGAACACUAAAGGUACAAAAUUUCCUAAACCCAAAACUCUAGUUAGUUUAAUGUGUUUUCUUAUAGUUGUUUUAGAUCAAGUGUUGAACUUAUGAUUUUGAACCAUAUGAGGGUAGAUCUACAUAAUAUAUGAUGUUUUAUGGUUAGAUCUUGCCAUUUUUAAGGUUAAUGAGCUUGAACAAAGAAGAAGAACCAAAACAGUUUUUAACUUAGAAAAAUAAAUUGGUGACUGCUGCCCUAAACAGAAAAUUCAGGGUUAGCUAGAAUGACCUAAAAUUUUUGGGCUUUUAGUAUGUUAUAUUACGCUGAAUAAGAUUUCCAUAGACUCUGGAAUGGACUAAUUCCGAUUUCGGAGCAACGAGUUAUGCUAUUUUAAAGUAGCCGAGUUAAAACUGGAAAACCAACUCGGGUUAGUCACUUUACACGGGAUUUCUGGAAUUCUGUGUUUAGAAUUUGGAAAUGGUCAAAGAAUAAAAGUUGUAGUCUCGGAAGUUAGCUUUGCGUGGGUUCAAGAAUCGCUCAAAAUGUUUUGAAACAAAAAAGCUAUGACUGUUUUAGCGAGAGAGGGUAAAUCUGGUAAAAUGUUGAAAAACUAUGAUGAAUGCACACUUUUGGCGCUCUGUUUAGGUAGCCUAUCAUACCUGAAACCCAGCCCUGAUAUUUUUUAAAAAUACUUUGGUAUGCCAUGUAUAACAUAUCCAAAAAUCAGAUUAAUCAGAGUUACGAAUAACGCGUAAGAAAAUCGUGAAGUGGUUGCCUCAAGAUGCGCAACGGGCAGAGCAGCAGCAAUACCUGCCGAGCGCCGCGCGCGGUUGGGCUAGGCUGUGCUGACUACUGCUUGACGUCCUUUUCGCGCACUAUUUUGAUGAGCUUCCGUGAUCCAUUUUUGCAGUGUAAAUAUUUUCUAAAAUACUAGAAGUUUAAGCUAGAAGUUUAAUUGAAGCCUUAUUUAUGAUUUUGAUUAUUCUUUGAAAUAGUUAUUCCUAGCCUUGAGGCCACAAUGCGGGUAUAUAGUAGUUCAGCGCAUGAUGCGCAGUUAUAUUUGCCUUUUGUUACUUUUGUUCAGAUAUUUUUUCUUAGGGACAAGCAAAAGCUUAAGUUUGGGGGUAUUUGAUUAGUGAGAUUUAUACCCGCCAAUCGAGCACUCUAAACCUUAAAAAGUUACUUGUUUGUCUUAUUUUAUACUGCUUUUAUAUAGUGUUUGAUGUUAUUUGGCUUAAAAGUGUUUUGCAGGGAUUAUUAGGUCAUUUCCAGCUUUUAAAGGACAAAAUUGUCAUUUUUUCACAACUAGCAUCGCAGCUCUGGAUUUCAUUUGUCAAGUGGCACCACAGCGCCUUCCUAUGAUAGCUCAGCCAGUAGCCAGCGCUACAGGGCUGGUUCAUAGAACAAAGAUGGCACCGCAGCGCGACUUAUUGACCAGACAGCUUUGACUGGCGCCGCAGCGCCUGUCCAAGGCAAAAGGGUGGCGCCGCAGUGCCACCUCCGAUCUUCAGGCAGAUAGCAGUGUAUUAAUGACCUAAAAUGCUUAUCACGUAAGAAAUUAUCAUUUUAGCAGCCUCCUUAUAUGUUGAAUAGUUUAAAGAGAGAGAUAACUUAGAAGAGGAAGAAGUUGGUUCUUCAAAGAAGAAAAGCUCAUUGUCUCCUUCUGUAGGGUUUCGGCACAUAAAAACAGCGGAAAUUAAAAUAUUCAAAGACAAUUCUGAAACCCUAAAACAAGAUCCAUGCGAAAACAUAUUAACUCAAUGGUUUAGAUUUUAUACCAAUUAUAGAAAAAUCUCUGAAACAGCUUCGAAUCUCCAACGCAAUCCAACAGAACUACGCCUCUACGGUAUCCACACGAACGCCCCGUGAAUCGUCACACGAUCUGCAGUGAAGAGAACUGCGGUACUAGCCACCAAGAAUCAGGAUUUUCAAAAACAUUCUCUCUAGUCUCUCUCUAAGAACGGCUAGGGUUUUUUAGGUUAUGAUAUGAUUCCUAAAAUGGCUGAUAUAUCAUAUAUAUAGCAGUCAAAAGGAAUUGAUUAAAACCUAAUCUAAUUAAAAAAUAAAAUCUGAAUUUAUAUAUAUUAUAUCUUAAUUAAGUCAUACUAAAUUAAUAAACAUAUAUAUAAAUUAUCCUAUUAAUUUAAAUUCAUAAUUUAAAUACUAUCAAUCAUAUUGACAUAUUUAAAUCCUUACAAUUUAAAUUAAUUCUCUUUUAAUUACGUUCUAUAUGUGUGACCCUAUAGGUUAUCAUUACGUUGGCAAUAAUUUUAAAAUCAUAUUAUAAAAUUAUAAAUAGUGAGUGACAUAUAGUAAUGCAUCACUGCUACCCAAGUAAUAAUAAGAUCGAUGAUUCGAUGCAACCUUUUCGUGACCAACGUUUCAAUGUAAUUUAAUUCUUUUAACGUUGACACCCUAGAUUAAACUCGAGUCAUGGAAUGUGUCAUACUCUUCAUAAUUUAAUUUGAGUUUUCUUGAUCAAUGAGUAGACUAUAUGAAACAAAUCACUAUUUGAGCAUGGCCAUGCAUUUAAUAGUCAUACUCAAUCAAGAGGCCUAUAGAUAUCACCCCUAAUAUAUAAGAGGGUUAAAUUCCAUCUAGAUCACUCAUAUUCCUCACACGAUUCAUGAUGUACCCAAUAAUCACCUUUAUUGUCCAGCCUAUUAAAGGUGACUUUUGAUGAUAUCAAAGUACAUAAAUUCCCGUGUAGUAAUAUAGUGAUUUCAGGUCGGAGGAUCAUUACAUCAUUGUCACUAUGAGAAUCGCUAAUGACACUUCGCAUAAUGCUCCACAUAGAAUUCUCAUUGUGGGUAUGUCCAGUACAUCGUUCUCUAACAUGUACCUAUGCAUUGACUCAAUAUCUCAUAUAUUUAUUACCAAUGAGAUUUGAUCAUCAGGCAAUCCACAUAAUAGUCUCAAUGUAUCAUUGUUGUCCCAUCAACAAUGAUACUCGACUAGGGAUAUUUUAGAGCAAUGAUAUUAUUUGUAAUUAUAUAAUCUCAUGUUCAAGUCACAUACUUGAAACUAUAUAAUUUGUAUCAUUAUUCUAAAGAAUUUUAUUAUGUUAACAUUUAUAUAACGCGGUAAAUAAAACCAUAAUAAAAUAAUUCAUUUAUUCAAUGAAAUAUAAUAUCAAAUAAUUGGCCUCUAGAGCAUAAACUCUAACACCUUCAUUGCUCGGAUUCUACACAGUGAAAAGAAGAAUUAGAGCUUGAAUACUUCAAAAUAAGAGUUUUCUUUAUCUAAAUCUUCCAUUUAUUUGUAUAUUUUGAGCAUGUUGAAUACAUUGAUAAUGUUGUUUAGUUCUAUAGUUAUGAACUAAUUACAUUUCUAGGAUUGCAAUGUAACCUAAUGAUUAGUUUAAUUGAAUUUCUCUCCUAUUUAUUAUAAUGAAUCAUGUUUGAAUAGGUUAUUCUAUUUCAUGCUUAUUUAUUGAUUGUUUGGCUAAGUAAUUGAUAUGAGUAUUAAUUUAUAUUGGAAAAUUGAUUUUAAUGCUUAACCCUAGAUAAAAUAUCACUUGUUAUGAUCAUUCCAAAGGGAAUGAGAGCAUAUCUUGCAUAAUAAAAUAUGAAUAUAUCUAUUUGCCUUGUGUAACCAUUGAGAAUUAAAGCUUAAUGACUCUUAGUCUAAUUAUUUUCACCAUAGGAAUAUUGUGAUUUAUUUAGCUAAUGGAUUUGCAUUUGACCAUCGGAAGAGGCUUAUGUGUACACAGUAUUCUCGGUUGACCAUUCUUGUGAUUUGUUAGAUAAUUGGAGAAUUAGGAUUUUAUACGCAACAUUAGGGGAGUUGUAAUCCUAGCUUGUCAUAUUUGAUAUAACUCUUUCUCACCAUUUACUGUUCUAAUCAUAUUGCUUUAAACACACCAUCUUUAUUUAGUUGUUUAGAUAAGAUUGAAUUGAUAUAAUUUUAGUGCAUGAAUAGCCUUAGUACUAAUUCCCUGUGGGUUCGACACUCAACUUAUUACUGUAUUACUUGUUUGACUGUGUAUACUUGCGCGUGUUUUAUUGAUCGUGAAAAUGUACAACAUGUUUUUGGCGCCGUUGCCGGGGAACUUAGUAUUUUUUUUCAAUAUUAAUACUAACUCAAAAUGAUCUUAAUUUAAACUGAUUUUCUAUUUAAACUUUUUCUCAGGUACUCUUGAUUGUGUAUGCCACCUCGCAAGAGUCAUAAUAUAAUACCUCUUGAUCCUAAGGUUGACAGAACAUUUAGACGACUGAGAAGAGAAAGAGCUUGGGAACUAACAACUCCAGUUAUUAUGGUCGAGGAAAUUCAAAAAUCUUUUCGGGAUUAUGCCAUGUCCCGCAUCACAGAUAUUCAAGCGAGCAUAUUAAGGCCCGUUAUUCAAGCUAACAACUUUGAAAUCAAGCUGGGUACUAUUCAAAUGAUACAAAACAAUGUUCAAUUCGGAGGGAUACCGAAUGGACCCUAAUGAUCAUUUGAUAAACUUCGUGGAAAUUUGUGACACUUUCAAAUGUAAUGGAGUGUUUGAUAAUGGUAUCAGGCUCAGAUUAUUCCCAUUUACUCUUCAGGAAAUAGCCAAGAGUUGGUUGCAUUUGCUUCCGUCGGGCUCUAUUACAAAAUGGGCUGAUUUGCCUCAGAAAUUCAUAGCGAAGUUCUUUCUGCCCGCAAAAAUAGCAAGGCUCGGACAUGAUAUCACAUCCUUUUCACAACAUGAAUCUGAGUCUCUUUACGAUUCGUCGGAGCGAUUUAAGGAUUUAUAGAGACGAUGCCCUCACCAUGGAUUACCCGAUUGGCUUCCAAUUCAGACCUUCUAUAACAGAUUAUCCGGUUCAACUCGUUCGAGUAUUGAUGUCGCGGCUGGUGGGGCCUUUAUGUCAGAGAACUUUGAUGAAGGUUAUGACUUAGUGGAGACCAUGGCUGCGAACAAUUAUCAGUGUCCUAACAAUAGGCAAGCACCACGAAAAGUGGCAGGUGUUUACGAGGUUGUGCAGUUACGGCGUUGUCUGCUCAGAUCACUGCCCUUACUAAAAGAAUUGAUGUUAUAGGGGUACAAUCAGUGCAAAUUUUGGCGGUGCCAUGUGAUUUGUGUGUUGGGAACCACCCUACUGAUCAGUGCGCCAUUAGCCCUGAGUCAGUUCAGUUUUUCUCAAAUUUCGUGCAGCAGCAGAACACCAAUGUUCCCACGCACUACCAUCCUGGUUUGAGAAAUCACCCAAAUUUUUUGUGGAGCAACAAUAACAGCAACCAAGCUCAAACCUCUACCGCCAGACCAACAUAUUCAAAUCCUCUCGGUUUUCAAUCUCAGAAUCAACAUCCACAAAGCUCUUACCAACCCCCACUUCCUCAGGAAAGAAAGCCUAGCUUGGAAGAUCUUCUAUCCUGGUACAUAUCUUAUAAUGAGACGAGGAUCAAUAUCCAAGAGGCUUCUAUCCAGAAUUUGGAAAACCAAGUGGGUCAAUUGGCAACUGCUUGAAAUAGUCGUCCUCCAGGCACCUUUCCAAGAGACACUGAUGUAAACCCAAAACGGGAGGGCAAGGAGCAAUGCAAAGCAGUCACUCUCCGAAGUGGCAAGACAUUGAAUGAAACUGGAGGAGAAACCUCAACAGUGCAACCGGAAGUUAUUGAAGAGGAGAGCAUUGUUGAGCCCAAUUAUGACAAGUCCGGGGGAUAAGAGAAUAUGCAAAAGGAAACCACAAUACCAUCUCCUACUGAUAACAAGCAUAGUCCUAUAGUACAACCAAUACCAUUUCUCCAACGCCUUCAGAAGCAAAAGUUGGAUAAAAAAAAUUCGAAGUUCUUAGAAGUUUUCAAGAAACUUCAUAUUAAUAUCCCGUUUGCUGAAACGCCGGAAUAAAUGCCGAUUUAUGUGAAAUUUAUGAAGGAUAUUUUGUUCAAGAAAAGGAAAUUGGGGGACUAUGAGAUAGUAGCACUUACAGAGGAGUGUAGUGUUAUUCUACAGAAAAAGCUUCCACCUAAGCUGAAAAACCCUUGAAGCUUCACUAUUCCAUUCACCAUCGGGGACCAGUUCAUCGAAAAAGCCCUAUGUGAUUUAGGAACUAGCAUCAAUAUGAUGUCGUUGUCUAUCUACAACAAGUUGGGGUUAAAUGAGGCCAAGGCUACCAGUAUCACUCUCCAGUUGGCCGAAAAAUUCCUUUACUUAUCUGAAAGGAAUUGUGGAAGACGUGUUUAUCAAGGUGGACAAGUUCAUCUUCUCGGCUGAUUUUAUUGUUCUGAACUUCGAGGAGGAUGGGGAGGUCCCUAUUAUCUUGGGCAGACCAUUUCUAGCUAAAGGCAGGACAAUUAUAGACGUGAGAAAGGGGAAACUCAUAAUGAGAGUUCAAGACUAGGAAGUAACUUUUAAUGUAUUCAGGUCUAUGAAGUUCCCCAAUGUCGAUGUGAUUGACAAAGCACUUAAUGAAGUAUUCUCUAAAAAUUACAUUUCUGAUUCGCUUGUAGCCACUCUGACUGGUGUUAGUAAUGUGGACGAGCAUACUCAUCUCGAGUAUGUGAAGUUGUUGAAUGAAUAUUCUCGGUUCCCUAAAUCAAAGCAAGUAGUGGAACCACUGACUAGAGCAGAAUCUACAUCCAAGGAGAAAUUACAUGUUUUGGAGUUGAAGCCUCUACCAAGCCAUCUGCGUUAUGCUUAUUUGGAAGAAUCAUCGAAUCUACAUGUCAUAGUUUCUGCAUUGUUAAGUGAGAAUCAAGAAGACAAGCUCCUGCAAGUUCUCAAGAAGUACAAGACAUCUUUGGGGUGGUCUAUCUCAGACAUCAAGGGCAUCAGUCCCUCUAUUUGCAUGCACAAAAUCCUCCUUGAGGAUGGUUCUAAUCCUUCUCUCGAGCAUCAAAGGCGGUUGAACCCCAUCAUGAAAGAGGUGGUUAGAAAAGAAAUCAUCAAGCUUCUUAAUGCGGGCAUCAUCUACUUGAUCUCUGACAGUCCAUGGGUUAGUCCAAUCCAAUGUGUGCCAAAGAAAGGCGGUAUGACAGUGGUGCCUAACGAGAAUACUGAGUUUAUUCCCACACUGACUGUGUUAGAGUUUAUGCCCUAGAGACCAAUUAUUUGAUAUAAUUGCUUAACGUUUUGAUAUUAUAUUUGAUUGAAUAAAUAAAUGAUUUUAUUAUGGUUUUAUUUACUGCGUAAUAUAAUUGUUAACAUAAUAAAAUUCUUAGAAUAGUGAUACAAAUUAUAUAGUUUCAAGUAUGUGACUUGAACAUGAGAUUAUAAUUACAAUUAGUAUCAUUGUUCUUAAAUGUCCCUAAUCGAGUAUCAUUGUUGAUGGGACAACAAUGAUGCAUUGAGACUAGUAUGUGGAUUGACUGAUGACCAAAUCUCAUUGGUCAUAAAUAUAUGAGAUAUUAAGUCAAUGCAUAGGUACAUGUUAGAGAACGAUGUACUGGACAGACCCACCAUGAGAAUUCUAUAUGGAGCAUUAUGCGAAGUGUCAUUAGCAAUUCUCAUAGUGACAAUGAUGUAAUGGUCCUCCGACCUGAAAUCGCUAUAUUACUACACGAGAAUUUAUGUACUUUGAUAUCAUCAAAUGUCACCUUUAAUAGGGUGGACUAUAAAGGUGAUUAUUGGGUUCAUCAUUAAUCGUGUGAGAAAUAUGAGUGAUCUAGAUGGAAUUUAACCAUCCUAUAUAUUAUGGGUGAUAUCCAUAGGCCUCUUGAUUGAGUAGGACUUUGAAAUGCAUGGCCAUACUCAAAUAGUGAUUUUUUUCAUAUAGUCUACUCAUUGAUCAAGAAAACUCAGAUUAAAUUAUGAAGAGUAUGACACAUUCCAUGACUCGAGUUUAAUCUAGGAUAUUAAGGUUAAAAGGAUUAAAUUACAUUGAAACAUUGGUCACGAAAAGGUUGCAUCGAAUCAUCGAUCUUAUUAUUACUUGGGUAGCAGUGAUGCAUUACUAGAUGCCGCUCACUGUUUAUAAUUUUAUAAUAUGAUUUUAAAAUUAUUGCCAACGUAAUAAUAACCUAUAGGGUCACACACAUAGAACGUUAUUUAAAAGGGAAUUAAUUUAAAUUUUAAGGAUUUAAAUAUAUUAAUAUGAUUAAUAGUAUUUAAAUCACGAAUUUAAAUUAAAAGGAUAAUUUGUAUAUAUGUAUAUUAAUUAAGUAAGACUUAAUUAAGAGAUAUAUAUAUAUAAAUUCGGAUUUUAUGAAAUUAGGUUUUGAUUAAUACCUUUUAACUACUAUAUAUAUGAUAUAUAGCAGCCACUUAGGAACACAAUCAAAAACCUACAAACCCUAGCCGCUCUUAGAGAGAGACUAGAGAAAAGUUCGAAAAUCUUGUUCCUUUGGUGGCUAGUACCGCAGCUCCUUUUAUUGCAGAAUCGUUCGACGAUUUGCGUGCGUUCAUGUGGAUACCGUAGAUACGUAGUACCAUGAGGAAUUACGUUCGAGAUUCGGAGCGUUUCAGAAAAUUCAAUAGUCGGUAUAAUAUCUAAACCACUGAAUUAAUUGUUUUCGCAUGGAUCCUGUUUUUAGGGUUUUGGAAAUUGCUUUAAAAUUUUAAUUUCCGCUGUGCGUUUCUGUGCCGAAACCCAACAGACUGUAACUAGAUGGAGGGUAUGUAUGGACGAUCAAAAACUGAACAAGUCCACUUACAAAGAUCACUUCCCGCUACCCUUCAUUGAUCAAAUGCUUGAUAGGCUCGUCGGGCAUGAAUUCUACUAUCUCCUGGAUGGGUACUCGGGCCAUAAUCAAAUUGCUAUAGCACCCGAAGACCAAGAGAAAACAACCUUCAUAUGUCCAUAUAGAACCUGUGCCUUCAGGAAAAUGUCUUUUGGAUUAUGUAAUGCUCCUGCAACAUUCCAGAGAUGCAUGAUGUCCAUCUUUUCUAACAUGGUGGAACAGACGCUCGAAGUGUUUAUGGAUGAUUUCUCUAUUUUCGGGAGUUCUUUUGAGGCAUGUCUACAAACUUAACUGUAGUACUGAAAAGAUGUAUGGAGACUAACCUAGUAUUGAAUUGGGAGAAAUGCCACUUCAUGGUUAGAGAGGGGAUUAUUUUGGGGCAUAAAGUGUCUACUAGUGGAAUUGAAGUGGACAGAGCAAAAAUUAAUGUAAUUGAUAUUCUUCCACCGCCAUCAUCUGUGAAAGGAGUAAGAAGUUUUCUGGGGCAUGUCGAGUUUUACAGGUGGUUUAUUAAGGACUUCUCUAAAAUUACUAAACUGCUCUGCAUCCUGUUGGAAAAAGACGUGCCUUUUAAUUUUGACAAAGCCUGCCUAUAGGCAUUUAAACUGCUAAAGGAAAUACUUUUCUCUGCUCCCAUUGUAGUGGCCCCUAACUGGAAAUUGCCUUUUGAACUUUUGUGUGAUGCCAUUGAUUUCGCUAAUGGGGCGGUGAUGGGUCAACGGAAAGACAAUGUAUUUCACACUAUAUACUACGCCGGUAAAACCUUGACAGAUGCUCAGCUCAAUUAUACCACUACUGAGAAAGAGCUAUUAGCAGUAGUUUAUGAUUUUGAUAAAUUUCGCUCAUAUCUCAUCAGGACAAAAGUCAUUGUGUACUCCGACCGUUCAGCUAUUAAAUAUCUAAUCUCAAAGAAAGAUGUCAAGCCGAGGUUGAUUAGAUGGGUUCUUCUCCUUCAGGAAUUCGAUUCGAAGAUUCGAUAUAGAAAGGGAACUGAAAACCAAGUAACGGACCACCUAUCAAGAUUAGAGAACCCAAGCCACUCGGGAGAAACUGACACGGUGAUAAAUGACUUUUUUCCAGAUGAGCAGUUGUUUGUUGUUCAUAGUGUAUCCCUUUGGUAUGCCGAUUUUGCAAAUUACAUCACAGGCAAUGUGCUACCGCCUAAUAUGAGCUAUCAGCAGAGGAAGAAAUUUUUAAGUGAUGUAAAACACUAUCUUUGGGAUGAGCCAUUCCUGUUCAAACAAGGCGCAGACCAAAUCUUGAGAAGAUGUUUGUCUGAGGAAGAGAUUGAGGAUGUGUUCCAUCACUGCCAUUCAUCUAAUUAUGGAGGACAUUUUGGUGGGCAAAGAACGACAACAAAAGUUCUCCAAUCGGGUUUCUACUGGCCAACACUGUUUAAGGAUGCUCAUCUGUAUGUAUCGCGAUGCGAUAAUUGCCAAAGAGUGGGAAAUAUCUCAAAAGGGCAUGAAAUACCUCUGCAAAAUAUUCUUGAAGUAGAACUUUUCGAUGUCUGGGGCAUAGACUUCAUGGGCCUAUUUUCAUUGUUCUAUAACAAUAUUUACAUACUAGUCGUUGUGGACUAUGUAUCCAAGUGGCUAGAAGCUUUAUCCUUGCAUAUCAACGAUGCCAAAGUUGUACUUAAUUUUCUUAGAAAAAACAUUUUUACACGAUUUAGCACACCGAGGGUGAUUAUUAGUGAUGAGGGCUCAUAUUUCUGCAAUAAGUACUUUGAGGCCCUUCUUGUUAAAUAUGGGGUUUCCCAUAAAAUUGUCACCGCCUACCAUCCGCAAACCAGUGGGCAAGCAGAGGUAUCGAAUAGGAGAGCAGAUUCUCUGUCCCCAUUUUCCAUGUCCCCCUUGUGUCCCUCUAUUUAAAUUUUGACACCUAGCCACUUAUUUAAUUUUAGAGUUAAUUAGUGUUAAUUAAGAGACUAGGUGUCAAAAUUUAAGUAGGGGGACACAAGGGGACAGAGAAAAUGUGGGCAAAGGAUCUGCUCUCAACCUUGUGACACAAGCCACAUGUGCAACAAAUUUUGUCUACUUUAUUACUUGCAGGACUCAAAACUACUGACAUCUAUAUUUAUACUCCCACCGUCCCUUAUAAGUCAGUUUUAGAGUUGUAUACGAGUAUUAAAAAAAUAGUUGUAUAUUAUAAAAUAUAAUAUUAAUUAUCUUUAUUACUUUUAUAUUAGAAAAAGAGAGUGUUAUUUAUUAGGCAAAAAAUAGUUAGAGAACUAAAGUUAUAUUUAUUACUUUGGGUAAUAUUGGAAAUUAAGUAAUUAAUACUUACUUGAAAUUCUCAAACGACUUAUAUUAAGGAACAAAAACAAUUCUCUUAAACGACUUAUAUUAAAAAAUAGAGUGAGUAUUAUAAAGCGGUUCUUCGAAGUUAUUGAUAUCAGUCGGGUAAUUAUGUUACAUUUUUUUUCCCUUUUUUCCCUUUAUAAGUUUAGUUAUAUUAUUAUUAUGUCAUUUUCAUUAAAUUUUUUUAUCUUUUUAUUAAGUCUCAAAAAUUUUAUAAAAUUCUUAUUUUAUCUAACAUAUUUUAUACACGCAUAACGAGUAAUAUUAUUUAAGGUUUCAAUAUCUUAUGCCAAAUUCUUAAUAACAAUCCAAGGAAAUAAUAUAUAUUCAGUGUAAAAACAUAAAAAUAUUAAGAAAAUAACAAUUUAAUAAUUUCUAAAAAGAAAAGGAACUGAAGGUAGAUAAUAGUGAAAUUGUGAAACCAAAUACACAUUACUAAACUAAACGGAUUCGGUUAUCAUGAAGUUAACAGUGUUGACACGAAAAAAGAUAUCACUUUUCGUCUGUAUGUCGACAUGACUGUAUCAGUCAAUUGACCAAAAUUAACUUUAUACUAAUCUGUAACGACCCCAAAAUAGGUCCAUUCCAUCCAACCUUUGUCCGUAUUCUUCUUUCUCCGCUGGUUAUCGUUAUUCUGAUGACUGCUAUCUUCGGUAUGAUCCUGGUUAUGGUUCCUCGAUUGAACGUACUCGUUAUCUCGCUCUAACAACUGAGCCUUGUUGACAACAUCUGAAUAGAGAGAAAAUUUAUGAGAAAUGAGAUACUGACGUAUGUCGGGUUUCAAACCUCUCAGAAACAUCCGCGUCAUAUAUUCCUCAUUCUCCGCCAAAUGAGGUGCAAACCUGGAUAACUCCGCGAACUUCGCCUCGUACUGGGACACCGUCAUGUUAUUCUGCUCCAGUCUAAUAAACUCCACUUCCUUCAUAUGACGAAUACUUUCAGGGAAGUACUUGUCAUUGAACUGUUUCUGAAACGUCUCCCAUGACAUGCUGAGUGCAGCUGGAUGGGUACGCUUCACAGAUUCCCACCAGUAAUCUGCCUCGUUACGGAACAUAAAAGUAGCGAAUGGAACUUUCUGUUCCUCCGUGCAUCCCAAGACAUCGAAUAUCUUGGUAAUUUGUUUGACCCACGUCUCCGCCUUAAUCGGAUCCGGCUUUCCCCAGAAUUCUGGUGGUCCCAACUCUUUGAACUGCUUGGCUGUGACCACCCGUGAAUUGCUAUCAUUUCCUCCUGUAUUUUGAACACGAGUCUCCCUCGUCUGAUUUUGCAUGAACUGCAAAAAGCUUCUAAACAUCCCCUCGUUCAUCAUCUGCUCAGUGGUGUUGUUCACAGGAGGUACAUUGCCAGCCUGUUGCACGUUCUCCUCGUUGGUAAGUACAGGCAUCUCCACGGUCUCAUUUACUCCACUGUUAAUAUUCUCAGUCGACAUUCUCAAAUACUGUCAUAAAACAAGGGUUAAUUAAGGAAAUCAAUAUAUCACAUAAUAUCCCUAUAUACUAACCAACUAACAAAUAAGCUUAGGUAGGACACACUAGCGAAGGAUUUACUCGUCUCUCCCCUCCUAGUUCUAUUCCCCGAUCUCCGCCAGAGAUCAUAUCCCUAAGCUCUGAUACCAACUGUGACGCCCCCAAAAUAGGUCCAUUCCAUCCAACCCAUUCUGAGUCGCCAAAUACAUGGUACAGAAAUAACUACAACUUUAUUAUUACAACAUAUAAACUGUGAGUUUAAAUACAGAUAUUGCCAUCUAGACAAUAUCCACACGCAAAUAAAUCCCCAUCAUAAUUAUUGAUACAUUAUUUUACAAAAAUGGUGAGGACUACUAAACAACUCUCUCUAGAACCUUCAUUCCAUACCCCGACUAGUACUCGCUACAUUCUCGCCUCCUGAGAAGAAAAAUGGAACAAAAAGGAAAAGGGUGAGCUCAACUAGCCCAGUAAAGAAUAUUAUGACUAAGAUAAUAUACAACAAAUUAUCGUUAGUCUUCAACAGGGAAAAAUCUAAUAGAAUACAAUAGACAACAAGUUUUAAAUCAAUAUUCGCAGCGGAAAUAAUAAUUCAUUAGAAGAGUUAAGUAGAGAAUGCAAACUACUAUCUUCUAUGUAUGAAUUUUAAAGUUCAUCGUCUAUUUUUUUCCCUGUAACAUCAAUCAAUAUAUAUCUGGGAUCAAAUAUUCAUCCUUGCACUACAGGCCAAGGACAUUCACCAGUUGGUCAUGUUCAUCUAAACACCUGUUCAUCUUUGCACUACGGGCCAAAGAUAUUCAUCAGAAAUCAUUCAUCUUUGCACUACAGGCCAAAGAUAUUCAUCAGAAAUCAUUCAUCUUUGCACUACAGGCCAAAGAUAUUCAUCAGAAAUCAUUCAUCUUUGCACUACAGGCCAAAGAUAUUCAUCAGAAAUCAUUCAUCUUUGCACUACAGGCCAAAGAUAUUCAUCAGAAAUCAUUCAUCUUUGCACUACAGGCCAAAGAUAUUCAUCAGAAAUCAUUCAUCUUUGCACUACAGGCCAAAGAUAUUCAUCAGAAAUCAUUCAUCUUUGCACUACAGGCCAAAGAUAUUCAUCAGAAAUCAUUCAUCUUUGCACUACAGGCCAAAGAUAUUCAUCAUAAAUCAUUCAUCUUUGCACUACAGGCCAAAGAUAUUCAAUAAUAUCAUCAUUUAAGACUGAGGAUGAUGAAAAAUAUUUUUUAAAAAAACGAAUCCAGUGAAACAAAAUGACAAGGAUUAAGGAUUAAGGAUUCGUACUUUGUUUUAUCCACGUCCAAAAAUACCUCAAAAAUAAUCAUAGUGGUGUAAAAUUCAAGAAUGAUCAAAACAUGGAUACAAUCAAAGCUAGUAUCCACAAUAGAUAUUUUGGACGAAAAGAAAAAUUUUCAUUUUUCGAUGAAUAGUGCCGUAUUCGUGAAUAGUACCGUAUACGUGAAUAGUGCCGUAUACGUGAAUAGUAACUCCGACACCAAAAGUUCCAAAUUUGAUAAAAACUUCAGAUCAAUAUUUCAGCAUAAUGAUAUUGAAGAAAUAAUAUCAUUACGAAAAAAAAAAAUAUCCCUUACCUCGAAAGAUCAGUACUUCUAGCUGAAACACCGGAUAUAGGCUAUGACUUGAACUUGCACCGUAUAGCAAUACUCAAAAUAUACUCAAAAUACUCACAAGAAUACGCUCGAUAAUAUAGAGAGAGAAAACUUCAGUUUCUGGUGUGAUUUUCAAUUCUAACCUAAGCACCCUAUUUAUAGGAAAAUGCUUAGAACACCAAAGCAGAAAAUUUAAUAAAAUAUUAAUAUAUAUAUAAAUAUUAUACGUAUUCUUUGAAAUCUGAAUCUCAGCAAUUCACACAUGCCAACCUUCUAGAAGAAAAUAAAAAAAACGUUUUUCUAAUUUAAAAUAAUUUAAACUUCCAAAAAUUAAUUAUUUCGGAGCUUCGGAACUUCAAUAAUUCACAAUAAAUAGCCCUUUUAUCAGAAAAUUCGAAUCUCGCGAGUUUUUAUAGGAAAUCCAAUUCUCUACAACUUUGCAGAAGAAAGUUUUUCUAAAUUCCCAACAGAAAUUGACCGAAAUCCAUAAACGGGUGAUUUUAGAGGCUAUAAUCAAAUUUCAGUCAAUAAAUGGGGUCCACCGACAUGUUUAACAUGUUUUAAACAUUUAUUGCAACAAAAAUACUCUUCCUCCUCGUAUACUCAUAUAUCCCACAUUCGUUGUAAAAAUAUCACCAUUAUUAUAUUAUUAAAAUAUAAUAAUAUAUAUUUAAAUGAAUUAUUUUAUCAGAAAAAGAUAAAAUUUCAAUUUUCAACAAUUGUCACAUUAAAAAUUUUCUCCAUCUAUAUCCACAUAAAAUCAAUAUUUUCCUCAUCAUAUGAAUCAAUAAUUAAUUAUUCACAAAUAAUAUUACAGAAUCACAAUAUUGACAACCAGGCAGUUCCCAGGAAAGAGGGGGCUUUCCAAUAAGAAUUUCUCCUUACUGGCGCGCAAUUAGGUGACCAAACCUCUCCUUAGACAGAACUUUCUAGACAUUGCCAAUAAUGUUAUCUAAUAAUAUUAUUCAGAUAAUAUGAAUUAUUGCUUCGAUAAUGAAAAAUACUGUGUAAUGACAAUUAUUGAAACAACAGCAAUAUAAAAUAUCAACGCAGCAAUUAUUGAAUCAAUAAAAUAAAAUACUGAACAGUAAUUACUGUAACCAUUAUUGAGUAGUGUCUUCUUACGUAAGAAUCAAUAAUUGGUGCAAUACCGUGUGCUACUAUUCAACAACGCGUAUUACUGUGUUUUAACCACUGGGUAUUCCAACAGUAUUAACGGUAACAACUACGCCAUUAUUUUUAAACAAUUUAUAUUUGUCGUUUUCUUCCUCCAAUCGCUUUCCGUUAUGGGGCCCACACAUGGCUGUGCCGUCGUACGAAUAUUCCCCGACAGUACGAAUAUUCCACGACCAAACGAAUAUUCCCCGACAACAAUGAAUAUUUUAUAACCACUUGCUUAUUUUGUAAAAUUUGCGCAUUUUACCCAUAACUAACCACAUUAAUCAAAUGCACCCUUACUAUUUCAAAAUAAUAAAUAAAGGAAAUUCCUUUUUAUUUAAAAAAAAUUCGGGGUCUUACAUAAUCUCUCCUAUUAAACAUACAACCCAUCAGCUAUUAUGGAUCAACCAAUAAUAUGUUGUAAGCUAUUCUUAGAGUAUACUCCCUCCGUCCUAGGAUAAAAGUUCUGGUGAACUUUUCACGUAUAUUAAGAAGAUGAAUGAAAUGACAAAUUGUCCAUAAUAAUGUUAUUAAUUAUUUUCAAUAUAGGUGAGAGAGCGACUUUCUAGCUUUUCAAUUUAAAAUAUUUUUAGCACAUAACUAAUUAUACUUAUUACAUAUGGAGAGAGAAUUAGAAUAAGAAAAGUAUGAGAUAUUUAAUGCUACGGGUAUAGAGUAAUUCUAGGGGGACAUUUUUGUGUGGACAUUCUAGCGACAUUUUUUUUUUUUGUAGUAUCUUAAAAAAUGUAUAGUAUUUAUUUCAACUGAAAUUUUUAUAAAAAAUAGUGUUUUAGGUAUAAAUUGGAUACAUACAAGAAACAAGGUUGUACAGACUGUACAGACCUUGUUUUUUGUAUGUAUCCAAAUUAUACUUAAAACACUGAUUUUUACAAAAAUUUCAGUUGAAAUAAAUAUUAUACAUUUUUUAAGAGGUACUACAAAAAAAAAAAAAAAAAAAAAGUCGCUAGAAUGUCCCCAAAAAAAUGUCUCCCUAGAAUUUCUGACGGGUAUAAUAGGAAAAAAUGUGUAAAAAUUUGAUUAUUAAAGUAAAAUGGAUAUUUAACAUGGGACAAUCUAAAAUAGUAAUAAGAAUUUUUUUCAUGGGAUGGAGGGAGUAUUAAACAAUACAAUACAGAAGCUAUUUUUGGUGCUCAAAUAUGGACUAGGCACACAUGGACUAAUCAAAGGAGUCUAAAGGGACUUAUUGACCCAUGGACCUAGUCACAUGGAAAGUAAGCCUAAAUUAGCUUUCUAGAGAAGAAAGGAUUCUUGGCCUACAAAAGGCAAUUAGGGGCAGCCCUAAAAAUCAAUAAAUAUUGAAUAAUAAUUUUGUUAAUACCGAAUAAAUAAGGCUUAAACAUGGAUUAAUAUUCUGAACUUUUAAUAUUUUUUUUAUUUUGGAAAUUAUAUUCUCAAUUUUUUUAAUUAGGGGAUUAAAUUUUUAGUAUAUUUUCAGUUUGGAUAUUGUCUUCUCAAUUUUUUCAAUUAAGGAAUUAAACUUUUAUUUUUUUUUCACUUUGUAGAUUGUCUUCCCAAUUUUUUUCAUUAAAUGAUAAACUUUUAAAUUUUUUUGAUUACGUCUAAAUUAAUAGUGUCACAUCAGAAAAUUGAUGACAUGGUAGCGACACGUAACUAAAAAAAUACUUAUGUGUAAUAUUUAGUGUCAUUUUAACAUUUAUUUAAUUAAUUUUUUGUACCAAAAAGAAUAAAUAUAAUACCAUUAUUACUUUUACUUAAAAAAAUUGUCAUUAAAUUUACUUUAAAAAAUUAAAUUGACCAAAUUAAUAAUUUACCAAAGGGUAAAAGUAUCAUUAAAUUUACUUUAUGGUACAUAUUUAUUAUCCUUCUCCAUUUUGUUUGAUAAAUCAAUGUGUUAAACACAUUCCAUGGGAAUGAUUGCCAACCAAAAAAAAAGAAAAAAAAUAUUCCAUUUUGGUCAAUUAGUUGGUUUUUGUUGAACUGUUUUUAGCCAUGUCUGAAAGAAACCAGACUCUUAUGCACCAGCAAGCAAGCAUGUUGGGUCCAUUUCAAAAUCUAAGCGCCCAUUUUUAAGUGUCAGAAUUUGACUUCACCGCCAACCAAAUACAGAAAUUUUUUUGUUACUAUGUUGAACUCUAUUAUUUCUCUAUUGAAACUAAUAUAUUGAAAACUCUUUCGUAAUUAGUAUAAUUAGUUUUGCUACAACAUAUACUCUACCUAUUUGUUCACUUUUUUUCAGUGUGAUUUCUAUGUUAUGUAUGUAUUUAUUAAGGAUAUUAUUGAAUUUACCCGACUUAACGAUACUCAUUUUGGAAACGUCCAAUACUAAAGUUAUUAAAUGGGUAAAUCGUCAAUCCCAAAAAUAAACUAUAUAUGUAAUGUAUUUUAUCUUAAUAAGCUUAUAAGUUAGGUCUUAAUUGCUUCACCGUCUAGUCUUUCUUCACUUUGGGGGCUUAUUCGAAUCAUAGAUGCAUUAAAUAUUGAAAAUUGGUAUUUAUACAUGACUUUUUGAUAUUACAGUCACUAUAGAUACAGUUUCUAUAGCAACGAUUUUUACCGUUACAUCUAUAACAACACUUUUCAGGUGAAAAUAUCAAAAAGUCAUGUAAAAAUAUCAAUUUCUUAAAUAUUUACGUAAAUUGAUAACUACUUGAGCGGAACCCACCUUAGCUCUCUAAGUAAAAAAAUUAAAACAAAUAUUUUCGCUAAUAACCAAAUACAUUUUUCAACAAAUAUUAUAUGUUUGAUUUCAUACAUUAAUGGAUUUUAUUUCAACAGACAUAUAGGUAGAGAUGGUCAAAAUUUUUAAUUUUUUCGGGUUUUAGGGUUAAUCGGACCGUUCCAAACUGGUCGAUUCGGGACAGAGAAAACCGAUUCGGUAUAGACCCAUUUUCGAUACCAAUUCCGAUUAAGUAUUUUGAUGAUUCGGUUUGUACCAUACGGAACCGGUUCUCACCGAAUCAACAUACUAAAAUGCAAAAAUCAAAUCUUCAGUAGAUGAAUUAUUAUCUAAUCCUUCUUCCUAUAGAAAUCUUUAUUACAAAUCACUUUAAUUUAAUUUACUAAUUCAAAUCCCAACAGAAAGAGCACAAAUCAACACUUUAAAAGCAAAAAGGAAAAAAUAUUACCCCACUUCUUUGACUGAAGCUCCAAAACUUAAUAGUGUACUCUCCUAAUCUCCUUCUUCUCUCUUCCACCCCUUUUUCUCCCGGCGUGCGCUGUUACAGUGCUUGCUGCUCCUCUUCCUCUUGUUCCUGUUUUUUUUCCUUCUCUGUCCUUUUUCUCUUUAUCAUGGUUUGACCAUUGUAUAUGUUCGGUAUUGCUUCUCUUUCUUCAGUAAAAUAAUAGCUUAAUUUUUCUUUUUUGAGUUGGUGUAAUUGGGAUAGUUGACCGGUACUAUAACAUUAAAAAAUUGGUACCGAACCGGUUUAAUUAGUAUCGAUUUCGGUACACAAUUUUAGUUACAUUCGGUAACUGGUCGUCUGGUCCGGUCUGAAUCAGUUAUGUUCGAUUC
rnacentral:lncRNA from 1 species